AGAGUUUGAUCCUGGCUCAGGACGAACGCUGGCGGCGCGCCUAACACAUGCAAGUCGAACGGAGCUACUUUGACAGAUUCCUUCGGGAUGACGUUGAUUUAGCUUAGUGGCGAACGGGUGAGUAACACGUGAGCAACCUACCUUUCAGAGGGGGACAACAGUUGGAAACGACUGCUAAUACCGCAUAAGACCACGCUAUGGCAUCGUAGAGGGGUCAAAGGAGAAAUCCGCUGAAAGAUGGGCUCGCGUCCAAUUAGCUAGAUGGUGAGGUAACGGCUCACCAUGGCGACGAUUGGUAGCCGG
rnacentral:rRNA from 1 species